ensembl:lncRNA
CUGAUUGUCACCACUUGGCCCAUACAGGGAAGCAUGAAUUCCUAAUUAUGUAAAAUUGAUAUAUAGCACCUACAAAAAAGAAAAAAUGUUGAGGAGAACCGUCUCUCAACCGAUUGGGCUUGAUCGGGAUGCCCAGCUUAGCAGCUGUAUGUCAUACGCCUCCAUGCAGAAUUUGACAGUUUAUGCCAGAAACAGAUCAAGUCUUGUGCUUGACAAUGAUUGGACAUCAAUCGUUCAUGAUCAAGCUGAAAGCAGGCAGUGGGAAAAUCAAGGUGAAGGACUUGCAUGGCCACCCAUAGGAAGAGCUGUGGGAUAUGAAGGGCCUGAUCAUGACGAGGUAGAGGUCGCAGAGGAGUGUGAGGCCGUGUACGCGGCAGAGGAGGACGAAGUCUGGAACUCCUCUGACCUGAGCCUGGAGGUGAAGAGAGACAUAGUGGAGCUGCUGCACUACAAGAACCGCCUAAUGAAAACAAAUGGGGAUCUGCAGAAGGCCCUCGAUGCGUGUGAGGACUCAAACGCUCACCUGGAAAUUGAGAACUCUGCCUUGAAGAGCCAGGUCAAAAGUAUGAAGCAGUCCAUUCAGGAUGCUGAGCAAUUGAUGGAGGAGAUGGACGGGAUUCGGGGGGCGCUAGGCGACAGUGAGACGGCCAGCAGUACACUCAGGGCCAGCAUCAGCAAGCUGGAAAAGGAAAAGAAAGCUCUGAUUGACCAAAUUGAUACAAUCGCCAAUGAGAUGUCUAACCUUUUGCCUGAGAGGGAAUUGGACGAGAAGAAAAUAACAAAUCUGAGUCAGCAAGUCAAGGCUUUGCAGCAAGAACUAGAGGAGACGAGAAUGCAACUCGAUGAGAAAACUGCAAUUAUUAAGAGUAAAGACUUUGUGAUCAAUCAGCAAAAAGCCUCCUUAGAGGAGUUUGCUGCCAUGGAACAGACCUUGAAGAGGGCCGUGAAGGACCUGGAAGGCCAGUUGGAACUAGCACUGGUCACUGCAGGAGGAAGUUUCCUGCAUCAAGAUGGAACCGUCUCAGCUGCAACUGAGAACCGUUUCUCUCUAGCAGAGGAACUGGGGCUGAUGCCUGGACUUCCGGAGUUUGAUGAUGAGGGGGAGGAAGAGGAAACCAUAGAGGUUGAGGAAGAGAUUCUGAAGGCAAUUGUAGCGGACCAGAAAGAAGAUUCCAGAGAGGUCAGCCUUGAGAAGGACGUAGUAGAGGAAGUCAAGUUUGAGGACGUGGACAAGGAAGUUGUUCAUGAGAUGCAGGAGGUCACCAAACUCUCGGAUGAGAAAAAUGUCUUCAAACAUGACCAGGCUGAAAAUGUUGAGGUAGAGCAGAUAGGAUUUUGUGCUGCAGAGGAGGGAGAUAAACUACAGCAUCAAAGGCAAAGUGUGGACUGGCUGGGUGAGGCCUACCACAGUUUCAGAAAUGGAGUCCUAGUUGCCUGUGCGUUCAGCCUGGGCGUUGUGCUGCCUCUGAGCGUCGUCAGUGCUGCUCUGCCACCCUACCACAGUGGCUCUGGCUUGGGCUGCUCAGACUUUCUCUGGAGCACAGUUCGCCAAAUCCUGCAGCCCUACUGCAGUGUCCAGCACAGCAGCAUGCCACCAUGGUAAAGGCAACAUGUGGCGAGUUACGUGGAAAACGGAACAUGGAAGCUGUAACAGGACAUUGGCACCCAAAUCUCUCCUCAAAAAAGAAUGGUACAGGUUGCAGUUGCCGUCAUAAUUUGAUUUCUCUUUUGGCUGUUUAAUUUCAUUGUCACAAUAUACUGAUUAUUCAACUAAAAUUAUAUUUUUUUUCAUCUUUUAAUAAGCUUUAAGUUUUAGACACAACUCAUACAUAAUAUUUAUUAACUGAACACAACUAGUCUGGUGCCUGUAUUCAAG